rnacentral:rRNA from 1 species
AGAACGAACGCUGGCGGCGUGGAUAAGACAUGCAAGUCGAACGCGACUUAUUCUGUUAGCAAUAACAGGAUAAGUUGAGUGGCGAAAGGGUGCGUAACACGUGGGAAUUUACCAAGAAGUGGGGAAUAGCUCGACGAAAGUCGAAUUAAUACCGCAUGUGGUCGCAAGACCAAAGCCGGGGACCGCAAGGCCUGGCGCUUUUUGAGAAGCCCGCGGCCCAUCAGCUAGUUGGUGAGGUAAUGGCUCACCAAGGCUAUGACGGGUAGCUGGUCUGAGAGGACGACCAGCCACACUGGAACUGAGACACGGUCCAGACACCUACGGGUGGCAGCAGUCGAGAAUUUUUCACAAUGG